rnacentral:lncRNA from 1 species
AGAGGUCGAGAGAGAGGGAGAGCUCGAGAAGUUGCUCACUGUUAUGCCUUUCCAAGAAAGCCUAAGGCAGAGUCUUCUGAUGCAGUCAUUACAUAUAUCAUCUCAGUUUGUCGUCGAUCGGUUUCAGUAUUAUUUGAUCAUGGUUCUACUUCUGCAUACUUUGUUUUUAGUUUUGAUAUGAUGCGUGAAUCUAUUGUUAUGCCUAUUCGUGUUUCUACCCCAGUAGGUAAUUCCUUAGUAGUGGAUCGGGUGUACCGAUCCUUUGUCGUUUCUAUUUUGUAGUGUGAUACCUGGGUAGAUUUGAUUAUCCUAGGUAUGGUUGACUUUGACAUAAUUUUAGGUAUGGAUUGAGUUUCUCCUUAUCAUGCUAUCUUGGACUGUCAUGCCAAGACAAUUACUUUAGCUAUGUCUGAUCGCCCAACGUUAGAGUGGAACAGUGAACGAAGUUCGUAUCCUAAGAAGGUGAUUUCAUUCAUUUAGGCCCAACAGUUAGUUGGGAAGAGUGUCCAUCAUAUUGGCUUAGGUUCGUGAUACUGAUACCGUGACACCUUCUUUAAAGUCAGUGAAGGUGGUUAGAGAGUUCAUAGAUGUAUCUUCUACUGAUCUUCCAGGUGUUUCUCUUGAUAGAGAUAUUAAUCUUAGUAUUGAUCUAGAGUCAGGCACUAAGCUCAUUCCUAUUCCUCCUUAUAUGAUGGCACCAACUGAGCUGUAAGAAUUAAAAGAUCAGCUUCAGGACUUGUUAAGCAAGAGGUUUAUUCGACCAAGUGUAUCACCUUGAAGUAUUGCAGUGUUGCUUGUGAAGAAGAAAGAUGGGUUUAUGAGGAUGUGCAUUGAUUAUCAAUAAUUGAACAAACUGACAAUCAAAAAUAAGUAUCCUCUAUCACAUUUUGAUGACUUGUUUGAUAAGGUUGCUAUUGGUUGAUAAGAAUUGAAGUGAAUGCUAGACAAUUUCUUUUGUCUUUUAGUAAUGAUGGUCAUGACCACUUUUCAUUAAAAUAGUAAGAAAGUGAUGGUUAUUAGCAUUGUACAGUAAUAUUAGUAUUGAACAUUAGCAGUGCAGUUGCGUUCUUUGGCUGCAAUUACAGAUUUAUCAUAUGGAAUUAUCAACUGUAGUUUACGCUAAAAAAGGAAAAGGAAUUAUUUUUAGAUGUUGAUUUUUUAGAGUAAGAAUUUAUUAAUUUAAAAAUUAAAUAAUGAUUCAUUUUAGUUGCAAUUUGACGAAUUAGUAUCUAUUUUUAUGAGGAUUAUAUGUUUCGAACAAAUUCUUAUUAUUUAAAAGUUUUACGCAAGGGCAAAUUUGUAAAUUGAUACUUGGGCGUUGAUUCGAGGCAAGUUGAGACUUUCUUAGACUUUUUUUUAAAGUGCUUAUUUGUUAGUUACGUGUAAUGGAAAUAAUGAGAAAUGGGGGAUCCCGUAUAAGUGAUUGUGACAACUAUCUAUGCGGGUACCUGUGUUAUUUGAGGGGAUAAAAUAAGUUAAUUGUACGUUUAAACUGUUUUUUUCUAUUUGCUAGCUUGAUGAACUGAUUUGCUAUGGUAAAUAAAUUAUUGAAAAAACUAGCUAAUGAUGAUACUUUCACUUGAUAAAUUGAGUUGACUUUGAAAUUGAUGUCUAAUCUGGCUUAAGACACGAAGUGUUUUGCUUGACUUUAUUGUUGAUUUGGGAUCGGAGUUGUACACCUGCACAUCAUGCAUUGCAUUUCAUAUGAGAUCGUAGUGCACACCUGCACAAUAUAUUUAUUGGAUCGGAGUGCACGCCUACACAAUACUUGGAUCUUGUGAAUCCCCCAUGGGUCUUGACCUUGAAGCCAUGCUCGAUAAAUGUGUACACAACAUAUGCAUUAUUUUGCAUCAUAUUGCAUUGAUUCAUUUGGUUCAGAUUGGUUAAGGUGUAUUUUUGACCUUGUACUUAUUGUAUAUGGGUUACUUGUUUCACUGGAUUGAGAAUUCUUAGAGUGUAUUAUGAUAUUCUUAUAACUGUUAAAUUUGAUUAUUCAGUUAGACUAGGGUGGCUUUCUUGAGCGCAGUUUGUUUGUUUGUUUUAGGUGAUUGACGUGGUAUCAUUCGUCACCACUUUGAAUUAGGGUUGAUCGACGGUGCUUACUGAGUACACGUGGUUCCGUACUCAUCCUUGCUUUUUCUGCACCUUACGUGAAGGUACAGAUCCGACGACCUCCAAACAUUGAAUCCCGUGGUUUUUUCUUU